UACGGAGGGUGCGAGCGUUGUUCGGAUUUACUGGGCGUAAAGGGCGCGCAGGCGGCUUAUUUUGUCAGGCGUGAAAGCCCCGGGCUUAACCUGGGAACUGCGUUUGAUACGGAUGGGCUAGAGUUCGGGAGAGGAGAGUGGAAUUCCCAGUGUAGAGGUGAAAUUCGUAGAUAUUCGCAAGAACACCAGUGGCGAAGGCGGCUCACUGGCCCGAUACUGACGCUGAGGCACGAAAGCGUGGGGAGCAAACAGG
rnacentral:rRNA from 1 species